rnacentral:pre_miRNA from 1 species
UGCAUGACAUUCGGCCUGGAAGACUAGUGAUUUUGUUGUUUCCUCCAUUUUCCAAAUGAACAAUGAAUCGCUAGGCUCCGUGCCGAGGCAUGCG